UUUCCCGUCAUCCCUCCUCCUCUUAUCUGUCCUGACAGGAAGCGGGAUCUUUAAAAAGGAGAUGGAGGGGAGCGGGUUACAUAACCCCGUUGGAAUGGGGGGAUUCUCGCGAGAAGGGGAACCGGCGGCGGGAUCUUCUCCGGCUCCGCUAGGAGGCGCCGCGCCCUGCGGCUGGGGCCGGAGAGAAGAGCGCGGAGCGGUUAUCCCUCCGCCGCCCCAGCCGGGACUACACCUUUCCCUAAGGAGAGGAGAAGGGUCACUGGGGAAGGGGGAACUAAGGGGCGGAGGGAGAAUGAGUCUUCUCCACGUGACCCGACAUGGAGCACACCACGUGACCCAAGCUUCACCUGAGUGAGCAUCAUAACACCUCGUGCUGUUAAGCUGAUGAUCACACGGCUUGCACUCGUGCAUGGAGUGAAUAGCAUCUGGAGGGCAGGUCUCAAGUCAAGCAUUUCUGUGGUCCAGCCUUGGCCAGAAGAUGUCUCUGGACCUCCAGAAAGGGAUUCUUUAAGUGCAUUGCCAGUUUGCUGCCUGUCUUUGGGCCCAUCUCUGUUGUGCCGUGGAUGGACAGUUGCAUAUUUGAAGCCAUGGCCCCUUGAGUCAAGGUAGUGCAUAUAGAUGCCCUUUACAAAGGUAUGAUUUAUAAGGCAUGGCUGCAGGAACAUCUUCAGAGCUCCACUGGGUUAAGGUGUGAAAUUAGGUAACUGCUUGAGGCCAACAGGCCUUAUAUAUGCCCAUCAAACUGAAUUGGAGAUUGUAACAGUGGCUUUCCCUUCCUUAGUCACUCUUCAAGAGGAUUGGAUUACAGACUUCACAAGUCCUGAAAAUGCUCAGGGGCAGGAGGCUGCUCCAAUAUUUAUAUAAUGUAAUAAAAUGUUUAAUAGUUAAAGCAAAUGAUUAGAAUUAACUUAGCGUAUUUCUUGUCUCACUUUUUAAUAAUCUGAGGUUGGAAGGAAGCUGAAACUUUCUCCAGUUCUUGAGCAACACUGCUUGCUGUGAUCAAUGGAUAAUGCAGUGUAUCCCUCUGUGCACAAGGAAGAUGUUUCAUUGGUGGGGGGAGUAGAUAAUUGGUGGAAUUUACAAAACUAAAGAAAAAGGGAACUUGAGUAGACUGGGAUCUUAAUUGUAACCAUGGAGAUGCAGAUGUGACAUGUACCAGCAAUCACAUUAAAAGCACCAGGAAAAAAGAGAAAAAACUGGACCUCAGCAUCUCUUUUGUAUUGUGAUUACCAGAACUGGAUGUGACCUCACCAGGUGCAGCUGGUGAGUUCACACAGCAUGCAAAGUCAAUUCCAAACAAACAGUAUUACUGCAGAGCAUAAUUCAUGAUUCCGAUUAGAGCUGAAAUUGUUUUAUCCAUGAGUGAAUCCGUCAUUCCAUUAAUAUUCAAAUAAUUAUGAAAAAGAUGCCAAAUUCAUUUUUGAAAAGCCUGAUGCAUGGAUUAUCUUGCCUUAAUUCUAGGAAAGAUUGGGGAAGGUGAUCGGCAGGUGUGCGCUGUCCCCUCCCCCCCACAUCCAUGCAUUCUCUUAAAGCCCUAUCCAGUAAAUGUUAUUUUUGCAGCAUAUUUUUUAUUUUUAAAAGUAGCCAAUAGCAAAAAGCAUGACUUUAAAAAAAAUAUUUUUAAAAACCUUUGUGGAGAGCCAAAAGAAGAGCCAAUCAUUUCAGUUCUACCUUUUCUAAAGAUUUUGUUCCUUAGAUAAAAAAUAAAAUGCAGCUUCCAGUCAAAUCAGAUGCCCACCAUUAAAAACACUUUAUGCAUUACUCAAAAA